ensembl:lncRNA
GCGAGUGGAAUGUCAGGCAUUGGUCUCUUACUGCAGACUUCAGUUAAAAUGACAUCUUGCUAAUAAAAAGGGCUCUUCUUCCUGUGGGGCAGCUCCAACAGACCUCAGAUUCUGAUGCCAAGGUUCUGAGAGAACCUUCUUUGGGUCCCUUGGAUCCAAGUGAUCAGUUACCACUGAAUCAAGUGAAUUAAAGGGGUUGAUACAGGUCCCAUGCUCUCCAAGUUAAGGGACUGUUCUCACAUGUUUGGAGAAGUUUGACUGUCCACGUACCAUUAAGAGUGAAGCUCUAAGACCUUUGAUUGCAGGCUUUGUGUGAUGGGUUUGGUAAUUGGCAGACCUUCUUUGAAGAAUGAUCUGGCAGUGAGCCAAGUUUUUCUUUGAGAGACUCCUAAAGGCAGUGUGGGAAGAAUUUUUCUUUAAUGGGAAUAUUUGGUUUCUUCUAUGACUACAUCUCCUAAGAAUACUUCUGCUUUGGAUAGAUACAAUUAAUUUCCACCAUUCUGAGAGCAAGAAAGAGAAUGGAAUCUGGAAUGCCUAUCAUUCAGUAUACAGACUUGGUUUUAAUCUUCAGCUUUCAGUUUGGUGUGCUCUGACCUCCCAGGAGUUGGUCUGGUAACCUCAAAUUAAAUACUCCUUGUGAAUAAUAAUUUUUUAACUUCUUCCCUAGCCGCAAGACUGGGUGUGUAUAGUGGAAUUAGCCAUAUAAUAAUAUUAAGAAUUUGGACUCUGUAGCCAGAAAGUUUGGGUUCAAAUCUUGGUUCCAAUGGUUACCAGCUAUGUGACCUCACUCAAGUUCCCUAAGUCCUGUAGUUCAUGACUCCAUGCUAAAGGUGAACAGUUCAAUGCCCAGGGAGGAAAAAGAACAUGUUGAAAUUUUAUUUCUCUUUAACCUGAAUUAUUGACUUUAUAUUUUUAAAAUGAUUUCUCUUAUACAACCAAACCAAUGAAAGCACAAAGGAAUACAAUUGCACACAUGAUCUUUCUGCAAAGAUGGUGUGGAGUUUCCCACUGAAGUAAAUCAUUGUUCACAGAAUUUGGCAAAAAGAAAAGGAAAAAGUCUCCAAACAAAUAGCCCAUUGAGAAAUACACCAUGACACGAG